AACAAAUAAGGCUUCACAACAAAGAAAUUAAAAAAUAUCAAGCCAGUCGUAUUAUCACUGCUCUAGAAGGAGCACUUAGCAUUCUUGAAUAUUGACUGACAGUUGGCCUAAAACAUCAGAAAAGUGAAAGAAGACGUUAUCAAGUAUUUGAAGUACCAACUCCAACAAGUUGAGGCAGAUUCCAUGGCAGAGGCGGUAGAAAGACCUGGUCAUUAACGUACCCCCAUAAGAAAAAGAAUCACAUGGCGUCAAGUCAGGUGAUCGGGAUGGCCAACGAAGCGGCGCAUGGUCAUAGAGCAUUUAAGAGCUGGCAUACUAACUGGGAAGCAUAGUCACGACGGAC